rnacentral:lncRNA from 1 species
UGCGGAGGAUGAAAUCCUCGUAGCGGAUGGUGCCAUCGGCGGCGACGUCUACCUCACGGAUCCACUCGUCAAACUCGUCAGGCUCCAGCUUCUCGCCAAUGCUGGUGAGGACGUGGCGGAGGUCGGCGACGGCGACGGUGCCGGUGGAGUCCUUGUCGAGGACGCGGAAAGCGUCGCGGAGCUGUCGAUCGAAGGGCUCCGGGCGAAGGUGCUUCUGCAUGAGGUCGAGGAAGCGGGGGAAGUCAAAAGGGGCGGUGAGGCCCUCCGAGGCGGCGAUCUCCUUCAGUUGGGCCUGCGUUGGGUUACCGCCCAGGGAGCGCAUCAGGAUCCCCAGCUCCGACGCGGCG